AUGGUUAAGUUAGAAAGGGCGCACGGUGAAUGCCUUGGCACUAGGAGCCGAUGAAGGACGGGACUAACACCGAUAUGCUUCGGGGAGCUGUAAGUGAGCUUUGAUCCGGAGAUUUCCGAAUGGGGAAACCCACUGUUCGUAAUGGAACAGUAUCUUUAUCUGAAUACAUAGGAUAUUGAAGGCAGACCCGGGGAACUGAAACAUCUAAGUACCCGGAGGAAGAGAAAGCAAAUGCGAUUUCCUGAGUAGCGGCGAGCGAAACGGAAUUAGCCCAAACCAAGAGGCUUGCCUCUUGGGGUUGUAGGACACUCUAUACGGAGUUACAAAGGAACGAAGUAAAUGAAGCGACCUGGAAAGGUCCGUCAAAGAAGGUAACAACCCUGUAGUUGAAACUUCGUUCCCUCUUGAGUGGAUCCUGAGUACGGCGGAACACGUGAAAUUCCGUCGGAAGCUGGGAGGACCAUCUCCCAAGGCUAAAUACUACCUAGUGACCGAUAGUGAACCAGUACCGUGAGGGAAAGGUGAAAAGCACCCCGGAAGGGGAGUGAAAGAGAUCCUGAAACCGUGUGCCUACAAGUAGUCAGAGCCCGUUAAUGGGUGAUGGCGUGCCUUUUGUAGAAUGAACCGGCGAGUUACGAUCCCAUGCAAGGUUAAGCUGAUAAGGCGGAGCCGUAGCGAAAGCGAGUCUGAAUAGGGCGUUUAGUAUGUGGUUGUAGACCCGAAACCAGGUGAUCUACCCAUGUCCAGGGUGAAGUUCAGGUAACACUGAAUGGAGGCCCGAACCCACGCACGUUGAAAAGUGCGGGGAUGAGGUGUGGGUAGCGGAGAAAUUCCAAUCGAACCUGGAGAUAGCUGGUUCUCUCCGAAAUAGCUUUAGGGCUAGCCUCAUGUUGUGAGAGUCUUGGAGGUAGAGCACUGAUUGGACUAGGGGCCCCCAACGGGUUACCGAAUUCAGUCAAACUCCGAAUGCCAAAGACUUAUCCAUGGGAGUCAGACUGCGAGUGAUAAGAUCCGUAGUCAAAAGGGAAACAGCCCAGACCACCAGCUAAGGUCCCCAAGUAUACGUUAAGUGGAAAAGGAUGUGGAGUUGCUUAGACAACCAGGAUGUUGGCUUAGAAGCAGCCACCAUUUAAAGAGUGCGUAAUAGCUCACUGGUCGAGUGACUCUGCGCCGAAAAUGUACCGGGGCUAAACGUAUCACCGAAGCUGUGGAUUGACAUCUU
rnacentral:rRNA from 2 species